rnacentral:rRNA from 1 species
GACGAACGCUGGCGGCGUGCUUUACACAUGCAAGUUGAACGGUGAAGGUGGAGCUUGCUCCGCCGGAUCAGUGGCGAACGGGUGAGUAACACGUGGGCAACCUGCCCCUAACUUUGGGAUAACUACUCGAAAGAGUAGCUAAUACCGGAUACGAAGUCUGUAGGCAUCUACGGAUUUGGAAAGUUUUUCGGUUAGGGACGGGCCCGCGGCCUAUCAGCUUGUUGGUGAGGUAGUGGCUCACCAAGGCGACGACGGGUAGCCGGCCUGAGAGGGCGACCGGCCACACUGGGACUGAGACACGGCCCAGACUCCUACGGGAGGCAGCAGUGGGGAAUAUUGCGCAAUGGGGGAAAGCCUGACGCAGCAACGCCGCGUGCGGGAUGAAGGCCUUCGGGUUGUAAACCGCUUUCAGCAGGGAAGAAGCGAAAGUGACGGUACCUGCAGAAGAAGCACCGGCUAACUACGUGCCAGCCGCUGCCGUAA